CUUUGUAAGAACUUCUGGAGUAAGUUUUGGUAAUCGUAUACAAAGAAGACGUGCAUAUAUGAAGAAAAGUGUCUCUGCAAAAUAAGAAAACCGAGAGAUAUUUGUUCGGUGCUUGUAUGAUGAAGCUUUUGGAGUUGGUGUUGUGCUUUGGGUAUUGAAAUACUUGCUGACAGAUUUCCGAGUUUGAAGAUUGAAGUCUAGGCUCUAAGAGGAGUUUUAACUUAGGAUAUGGAUUAUCCUAAAGAGUUCUUGUAAUAGAAAAGGACGGUAUUUCAGGAGGGUUGUGCCUGAUUUAUGCGUUAACGAAUUUGUUAUAUUUUCUUUCUUGUUCUAGUGAAUUCG
rnacentral:lncRNA from 1 species